rnacentral:lncRNA from 1 species
GAACAACCAAAAAAUAAUGAACACUACAGCAGUGUCACACAUUCAAAGAAUUCUCCAGUAGUGGUUAUAUUUUAUACAUAACCAACGGAAAAAAAUGCUUAAAAUCGCACAGCUGGUGCGAGCUACAAAAUUAACUACAAACUUCAUACAAGAAAACCAUCGGAGCAUGAUAGAAAUACAGAAUCAAUUAGAUCGAAAAACUCGAACUAUUCGUACUCGGAAAAAAUGAAAUCGGAACGAACAGAACACAAUGAAUAAAUGAAUUUGAUUUCGUCGAACCUGCACCUUCAACUUUGGGUCUAUCCAUCCUCAUACCAGUG